rnacentral:lncRNA from 13 species
GUGGAUUUCUGAACAACGGUUACUGAGCAAAAUACAGCAGGACAUCAAGCUUGGCACAAACUUUUCUUGACCUGUGCUGUAGGCACCAUGCAGAGUUCCUGCCUUUGAGGAUUUUAUUUUGUUUGAGGAAAUAGACGAACACAGUGACUUCAAUGCCGUCCUGGAGAUAUUUCAGGCAGCGGGAACCUUGUGGACAAAGAUAUUGAAGCAGGGAAGUGUAGGGCUUGUUUCAGGAAAGGCGAUUAGAACUACAUGAUUGAAACAGGAAGGUCCAAGGUCAAGGCCAUCUCUCUGGAGAACUGCAAAAGGCACCAUCCCAUUGUCUUCUUGGGAGAAGAUUUGAAGGGAGAAAUGACAUCAGAUUUGCCCAUUUCUAAAAGGACAAAAGCUCUAUAUUUUCCUGCAUCAGCAAAACUGUCAACUGGAGAUAAGGCGUUUGUAACUAAUUCCCAAGGCUGAAGACUGUUGUUCUAUCUCAUGCCAAUGCCCCCCAAAGUGGCUUCCUCCAGUUUGUGAUAAGCCCUUCAAAAUCCUGAGAGCUUGUCUUUAGACAUCCGUAUACUCUCACGGGGGACACUUUAUCACCCACGAUCAAGCAUGGCCCUCACUUAUGCAUAAAUCUCUCUACUUCUGAAAGGAUGGUUUCCAAAAUUAAAAUUCAAUCCCAG